CAAAAAGACUCGGAUUGCAGAGAGUCAGUGAGAUACAAACUGCUGCUGAAGGGAGAUCAAAUGGAAGGUAUGAAGCAUGUAUAGAUUCCUUUAUGCAAAUUGUGCCGUACUCUAGCAUAUCUUAAGAAUAAAGGUCUUUGUAGGCAUCAGUCUUCUCUAAUGACGCUGCAAAUGCUCUUCUGCCGAUACUGUGGCUUCAAAGGAAGUUGGGAUGGUUGAAGCAAAAGGCGUACUUGCUUUCUAGAAUAUGGGAUAUGCAAUAAACUGUUGUCAUGCAUAGUCUUCAAGGAUCAGAAUUACUGCCAAGAAUCAUAUGCUGACUACGUACGCAAAGAAGUAAAUGGACAAUAUCUGUGUUUCAGCAAACUAAAAUUGAACCUAAAUGCUGCCGCCAGUUGCAUGUAGCCCAGCUGCAACUUUAGGCUUAUGAUUACCCAUGUAAUUGUUGUGCAAUAGCCUUCCAUCCAUUCAUCUGAGGGGAAUGUCAGGGGCACCAUUUCUCCUCAUGCUCCCUUCCUACAGUUGUCGGAUAUUUGAGAAGUGGCAGUCUCAUUUCGACAUACUAGAAAAAUUUAGGAA
rnacentral:lncRNA from 1 species